rnacentral:rRNA from 1 species
CCUACGGGAGGCAGCAGUGGGGAAUUUUGGACAAUGGGCGCAAGCCUGAUCCAGCCAUGCCGCGUGUCUGAAGAAGGCCUUCGGGUUGUAAAGGACUUUUGUCAGGGAAGAAAAGGACAGGGUUAAUACCCCUGUCUGAUGACGGUACCUGAAGAAUAAGCACCGGCUAACUACGUGCCAGCAGCCGCGGUAAUACGUAGGGUGCGAGCGUUAAUCGGAAUUACUGGGCGUAAAGCGAGCGCAGACGGUUACUUAAGCAGGAUGUGAAAUCCCCGGGCUUAACCUGGGAACUGCGUUCUGAACUGGGUGACUAGAGUGUGUCAGAGGGAGGUAGAAUUCCACGUGUAGCAGUGAAAUGCGUAGAGAUGUGGAGGAAUACCGAUGGCGAAGGCAGCCUCCUGGGAUAACACUGACGUUCAUGCUCGAAAGCGUGGGUAGCAAACAGGAUUAGAUACCCUAGUAGUC